AUUGAACGCUGGCGGCAUGCCUUACACAUGCAAGUCGAACGGCAGCACGGGAGCAAUCCUGGUGGCGAGUGGCGAACGGGUGAGUAAUAUAUCGGAACGUGCCCAGUCGUGGGGGAUAACGUAGCGAAAGCUACGCUAAUACCGCAUACGAUCUAUGGAUGAAAGCGGGGGAUCGCAAGACCUCGCGCGAUUGGAGCGGCCGAUAUCAGAUUAGGUAGUUGGCGAGGUAAAGGCUCACCAAGCCGACGAUCUGUAGCUGGUCUGAGAGGACGACCAGCCACACUGGGACUGAGACACGGCCCAGACUCCUAUGGGAGGCAGCAGUGGGGAAUUUUGGACAAUGGGCGCAAGCCUGAUCCAGCAAUGCCGCGUGCAGGAUGAAGGCCUUUGGGUUGUAAACUGCUUUUGUACGGAACGAAACGGCGAGCUCUAAUACAGUUUGCUAAUGACGGUACCGUAAGAAUAAGCACCGGCUAACUACGUGCCAGCAGCCGCAGUAA
rnacentral:rRNA from 1 species